GAUGAAUGCUGGCGGCGUGCCUAAUACAUGCAAGUCGAGCGGUAAGGCCCUUCGGGUACACGAGCGGCGGACGGCUGAGUAACGCGUGGGAACAUGCCCCAAAGUGAGGGAUAACGCACCGAAAGGUGUGCUAAUACCGCAUAUGGUCUUCGGAUUAAACGGAUUUAUCCGCUUUGGGAGUGGCCCGCGUACGAUUAGAUUGUUGGUGAGGUAACGGCUCACCAAGUCGACGAUCGUUAACUGGUCUGAGAGGAUGAUCAGUCAGACUGGAACUGAGACACGGUCCAGACUCCUACGGGAGGCAGCAGUAAGGAAUCUUCCACAAUGGGCGAAAGCCUGAUGGAGCAACGCCGCGUGCAGGAUGA
rnacentral:rRNA from 1 species